rnacentral:rRNA from 1 species
UACGGAGGGUGCAAGCGUUGUCCGGAAUCACUGGGCGUAAAGGGCGCGUAGGCGGCUCAUGAAGGCUGUGGUGAAAGUCCGGGGCUCAACCUCGGAUCGGCCGUGGCGACUCGUGGGCUGGAGCACUGUAGAGGCGGGUGGAAUUCCGGGUGUAGCGGUGGAAUGCGUAGAGAUCCGGAAGAACACCCGUGGCGAAGGCGGCCCACUGGGCCGGUACUGACGCUGAGGCACGAAGGCGUGGGGAGCGAACGGG